ensembl:lncRNA
AACCCGACAGAAUCUUCAUCCGCGUGUCCAUUCUGACAGGAUGUACAGUAGUAUAUGACCUGGGGUUAUUUCCACUGUCAUUUUAUAGAAGGUAAAAUACGCUGGAAUCUUCCCAGACCGGAGAAUGUGCAAGUCUGGAAAAGUUACCGACGUGACAGCUUUCCGGUUAGUGAUGACUAAUAAAAAAAAAAAAUCCACUCAGUCUGAACAGUGUUUAAGUUCAAGCCGGGGGGCUCUAAUUAAACGCUGACACUUGGAACGACAGGAGGAGCACAACGUGGACUUCGUACAGCAUGGUUCUUUAGGACUUCGGACGGCUCCAAGUCGUUGACCUGCAGGAGUGAACUGUAGUGACGACUCGCACGCACGCGCACGCAGCUGUGGACAGCGGACAAACAUCAAACCCUGACGGUUUACCAGGCUUCACCGAUCCCGUACCGUGCUCGUCGUCGGUGUGAGCGACGUGGAUCGCGCGCUCGUCCAGGCUGAAGUAGAGGAAAUGGAGGCCUCGGCGUCGGUGUAAAGGGGAUUCCAUCGACCCCUUCGACUCUCAAGACUCAUCCCUGGAUCCUGACUUGCCUUCUUCACUCCCGACGAAUAGUCUGGGUUUGAGGGCUUAAAUAAAUGAUUCUUUUUAUUGAAUUAACAUUUGAAAAGAGGAGCGGUUGAUCACGUUUGUCCACUCAAGAAAGGAUUUUUAAUUUCAAAGUUGCUCUGAUGUCCACUUUGUCCUCUUACGCUCGGCGUGAUGACCUCAACAAUAUUAGACGUUAAGUCCUAUGAGAUCACGUCACCGGCCCCCCACAUGCUCCAAAUUCACCCUAACGGAAAUUUGAAGAAUAUAUUGGCGAAUAUAUUCACCGCUUAUCAAAUCUAGGCAAACAAUAUGAUUGAAAAGUAAACUAUACAUUUAAAAUAAUAAUAAUAAUAAUAAUAAUAAUAAUAAUACUAAUAAUAAUAAUUUAAAGAAUGUCCUUGUUGGUGUUAAUCUGACAUUGAUCCUGUCCUCUAGGUCCUCUUCUGUUUCAGUUAACUGGUGCCUUCUUUAAAAAAAAAUUAUAUUUAUUUAUUUAUUUUAAAUCAUACCACUGUUCUACCGCUCUUCUUUCUGAAUCUUUCUCUCUUUCUUAUCUCCUCCAUACAUCCUCCCACCUGCCUCCCUCUAUCUCCCUCCCGUCGCUCUUCCUGCCUUUCCGCGCGUGCUGAUUGUCGCGCUUUUCAUUCUUCGUCCUCUGUAUUGGCUUUUGUUUUGGGAACAAAGGGCGCGUAAUGUCCUCAUCUUUUCCAUCUGUCACUCAGUCGGGGGGAAUGACUGAGAGGCGGAAGAUGACGAGAGACAGGGAGAGAGUGAGGAGGAAGGAUGCGGCCGUUUGAUUUCGGGAGCACUGCUUCAUUUCCCCUCAGCUCUCUGUGCGACUGCUCCGUAGACACAGACACGGCGAGGGAUCGGAGCUCCGGCGAGCUUCCUCCUGGAAAUUUACCACAGUGCUGCUGUGCUUCCAAAAAGGUUACAAAUAUUUCAUAGAUGGAUGGAUGGAUGGAUGGACAGUGGGAUGGAUGGAUGGAAGGACAGAUAGAUAGAUUGAUAGAUAGAUGUAUGGAUAGACAGUGGGAUGGAUGGAAGGAUAGAUAGACAGAGACAAAUAGAUAGAUAGAUAGUGGGAUGGAUGGAUAGAUAGAUAGUGGGAUGGAUGGAUAGAUAGUGGGAUGGAUGGAUGGAAGGAUAGAUAGAUGGACAGUGGGAUGGAUGGAUGGAAGGAUAGAUAGAUGGAUAGAUAGAUAGUGGGAUGGAUGGAAGGAUAGAUAGAUAGUGGGAUGGAUGGAUGGAAGGAUAGACAGAUAGAUGGAUAGUGGGAUGGAUGGAUGGAAGGAUAGAUAGAUGGAUAGAUAGAUGGAUAGAUAGUGGGAUGGAUGGAUGGAAGGAUAGUGGGAUGGAUGGAUGGAAGGAUAGUGGGAUGGAUGGAUGGAAGGAUAGAUAGAUGGAUAGAUAGAUGGAUAGUGGGAUGGAUGGAUGGAAGGAUAGUGGGAUGGAUGGAUGGAAGGAUAGUGGGAUGGAUGGAUGGAAGGAUAGAUGGAUAGAUGGAUUAGUGGGAUGGAUGGAUGGAAGGAUAGAUAGAUAGAUGGAUAGUGGGAUGGAUGGAUGGAAGGAUAGAUGGAUAGUGGGAUGGAUGGAUGGAAGGAUAGAUGGAUAGUGGGAUGGAUGGAUGGAAGGAUAGAUAGAU